AUUAAAUGAUGAUACCUAUAAUCAGUUCUGCUUCUGAACAAUGCUGAAGACAACCUGAUACCAAAGAAACUCACUUAUCUGACUG
rfam:Schizosaccharomyces japonicus yFS275 unplaced genomic scaffold supercont5.1, whole genome shotgun sequence.